GUUCUGCUGCAUUCAAGCCUGGUCUCUAUGUGGUCCUUCCCCAUGUGGAAACUCCCCAAGCUGCCAAAGAAGAAGCAUGUUACUUUGGAGUGGAAGCAGGUGGAAUGAUGGAAAUCUGUACACUCAUGUCCUCCAAGUAAAGGGCAUUGUGGCUGACGAAGCAUAUCUCAGAAUGGCUGAAAGCCAAAAGUUUCACUUGCAUGUUUGAAAUCUUUCCUCCCUAGUUGCUCUCUUAAUAUGUGUCUUUAAAAGCAGAAUAGCUGCACUUCCUAACCUUAUUGCACUAAACCUUGCAACAACUGCAACGUACCUCAGGUCCUUCACAUUGAUGAUACCAUCUGUAAUUGUCCUUGAUGAAGAGGGAGGAAUGACAUUAUUCCUGACAGAUGAGCAAGCCCUUCUGCAAAGCACUGCUAGAGGGCUGCCACAGGCUCUUAGCAUGAUUCCCGGCUUUGCUGCACAAAUGAGGAGACGUUGGAUCGGUAGGAAAGGGACACAGGAUCCAGGCAGGUUUUACACUUGAAACUGUUGGCAUUGUUGCCUGAGGUUGUUUUAUUUAAUGGUGAUUUAAAUUACUCUGUGGCUCUGCUUUUCAGAAUUUAGGCACUGAGCUGUCUCAUCCUGUGCUUCUCAUUUCCUUGCUGUGGCCUGUUUCUAUGGCCCAUAUUUCUUCACCUACAUGGGAGCUGCCUUCAACCAGGCAGAGCAGUGGUCGUUCUUUACAUGAUUCUUAAUCCCCUGCCCAACCCGUUGAUGUAGACCCCAAGAAACAAGGACGUGAAAGCUGCUCUGAGUAGGUCCAAGAGCUGGUAUUUGUCCUCAUGAUGUAAACAAGUGGCAGGGUGCCGUCACCCUCAGCCAAAGAUCCCUGUACAUCAAGGAGUUAAUGAUCCAUGUGACAGAUUACUGAGGAGGCUUUGUCCUCUGCUGUGCUAUAUGCAGAGUUUGCCCUUCAGGGCAAUGUUGCACUGCACAGAUCCCUUGGCCAGAGGCAAAAUUCAUCCAGUCGAUUGUAACUGAUGAGCCUGGAGGCAGCUCCUGCUCGGUGCCCGUGGUUACAUUCUCUGGGUGUACUUCCCUGUGUCUAAAAUGCAGUAAGAAGUUCUCAUGCAAACAUUUUUCCUGUUUCAUAGCAGAAAUUAUAAAUAGAGAUAUUUUAUUUUAUAAAAAUCUUCUAAAAGCUUGAUGGACCAAAAGACACACUUCCAUGAGCAGCAUA